rnacentral:ncRNA from 1 species
GCAGAGUAGGUAAGAGUGCGUUAAGUGCUUGCCGGCGGGAUGUAAGUCGGCUGGACGAAGAACACGGUCCUUUGUUUGCGGUACUCUUAACCGAAUCCCACUGC